rnacentral:rRNA from 1 species
UGCAAGUCGAACGGUGAAGCCCAGCUUGCUGGGUGGAUCAGUGGCGAACGGGUGAGUAACACGUGAGCAACCUGCCCCUGACUCUGGGAUAAGCGCUGGAAACGGCGUCUAAUACUGGAUAUGUACCACGAUCGCAUGGUCUGUGGUUGGAAAGAUUUUUCGGUUGGGGAUGGGCUCGCGGCCUAUCAGCUUGUUGGUGAGGUAAUGGCUCACCAAGGCGUCGACGGGUAGCCGGCCUGAGAGGGUGACCGGCCACACUGGGACUGAGACACGGCCCAGACUCCUACGGGAGGCAGCAGUGGGGAAUAUUGCACAAUGGGCGCAAGCCUGAUGCAGCAACGCCGCGUGAGGGAUGACGGCCUUCGGGUUGUAAACCUCUUUUAGCAGGGAAGAAGCGAAAGUGACGGUACCUGCAGAAAAAGCGCCGGCUAACUACGUGCCAGCAGCCGCGGUAAUACGUAGGGCGCAAGCGUUAUCCGGAAUUAUUGGGCGUAAAGAGCUCGUAGGCGGUUUGUCGCGUCUGCUGUGAAAUCCGGAGGCUCAACCUCCGGCCUGCAGUGGGUACGGGCAGACUAGAGUGCGGUAGGGGAGAUUGGAAUUCCUGGUGUAGCGGUGGAAUGCGCAGAUAUCAGGAGGAACACCGAUGGCGAAGGCAGAUCUCUGGGCCGUAACUGACGCUGAGGAGCGAAAGGGUGGGGAGCAAACAGGCUUAGAUACCCUGGUAGUCCACCCCGUAAACGUUGGGAACUAGUUGUGGGGUCCAUUCCACGGAUUCCGUGACGCAGCUAACGCAUUAAGUUCCCCGCCUGGGGAGUACGGCCGCAAGGCUAAAACUCAAAGGAAUUGACGGGGACCCGCACAAGCGGCGGAGCAUGCGGAUUAAUUCGAUGCAACGCGAAGAACCUUACCAAGGCUUGACAUAUACGAGAACGGGCCAGAAAUGGUCAACUCUUUGGACACUCGUAAACAGGUGGUGCAU